rnacentral:rRNA from 1 species
GACAGAGGGUGCGAACGUUGCUCGGAAUUACUGGGCGGAAAGCGCGUGUAGGCGGGUGAUCAAGUCAGGUGUGAAAUCCCCAGGCUCAACCUGGGAACUGCACUUGAAACUGGUCGCCUUGAGUGUUGGAGAGGCAAGUGGAAUUCCCGGUGUAGCGGUGAAAUGCGCAGAUAUCGGGAGGAACACCAAUGGCGAAGGCAGCUUGCUGGGACGGUCCUGACGCUGAGGCGCGAAAGCGUGGGGAGCAAACAGG